rnacentral:rRNA from 1 species
GACGAACGCUGGCGGCGUGGAUUAGGCAUGCAAGUCGAACGGUAUCAUCCUUUCGGGGGUGAGAGAGUGGCGAACUGGUGAGUAACACGUAGGUUAUCUACCCUCAAGACGGGGACAACCCAGGGAAACUUGGGCUAAUACCGGAUGUGAGCAACUUUUUAGUUGUUUGAAAGGUGGCGUAAGCUGUCGCUUGGGGAUGAGCCUGCGUCCUAUUAGUUAGUUGGUGAGGUAACGGCUCACCUAGGCAAUGAUAGGUAGGCGGCCUUAACGGGUGGUCGCCCACACUGGGAUUGAGGUACGGCCCAGACUCCUACGGGAGGCAGCAGUCGAGAAUAGUCUACAAUGGUCGGAAGACUGAUAGUGCGACGCCGCGUGAACGAUGAAUCCCUUCGGGGUGUAAAGUUCUUUUAUAUGUGAGCAGUGCUUCUUAUAUUAACAGUAGUGGGGAGAGAGAUAUUAGCAUAUAGAAUAAGCGAACGGCUAACUCCGUGCCAGCAGCCGACGGUAAAAUCUACG